rfam:Pisolithus tinctorius Marx 270 unplaced genomic scaffold scaffold_387, whole genome shotgun sequence.
AAGAGUAUAGUAUAAAUGGUUAGUAUCAUGAUCUCCAAAAUCGUUGGUAGGUGUUCGAGUCACCUUGCUCUUG